AGGGCACCACCAGGAGUGGAGCCUGCGGCUUAAUUUGACUCAACACGGGAAAACUCACCCGGCCCGGACACUGUAAGGAUUGACAGACUGAUAGCUCUUUCUUAAUUCGGUGGGUGGUGGUGCAUGGCCGUUCUUAGUUGGUGGAGCGAUUUGUCUGGUUAAUUCCGAUAACGAACGAGACUCUGGCCUAUUAAAUAGGCGAUAUAUUUAAAAGUAUAUCGCGCUUCUUAGAGGGACAAGCGGCGUCUAGCCGCAUGAAAUAGAGCAAUAACAGGUCUGUGAUGCCCUUAGAUGUCCGGGGCUGCACGCGCGCUACACUGAAAGAAUCAGAGUGCGUUAAUACCUAGUUCGGAAGAACCGGGUAACCCAAGUAAAUUCUUUCGUGCUUGGGAUAGGGAAUUGCAAUUAUUUCCCUUAAACGAGGAAUUCCCAGUAAAUGCGGGUCAUAAGCUCGCGUUGAUUACGUCCCUGCCCUUUGUACACACCGCCCGUCGCUACUACCGAUUGGAUGACUUAGUG
rnacentral:rRNA from 1 species